AACGAACGCUGGCGGCAUGCCUAACACAUGCAAGUCGAACGAGACCUUCGGGUCUAGUGGCGCACGGGUGCGUAACGCGUGGGAACCUGCCUUUAGGUUCGGAAUAACUCAGAGAAAUUUGAGCUAAUACCGGAUGAUGUCUUCGGACCAAAGAUUUAUCGCCUUUGGAUUGGCCCGCGUUGGAUUAGGUAGUUGGUGGGGUAAUGGCCUACCAAGCCGACGAUCCAUAGCUGGUUUGAGAGGAUGAUCAGCCACACUGGGACUGAGACACGGCCCAGACUCCUACGGGAGGCAGCAGUGGGGAAUCUUAGACAAUGGGGGAAACCCUGAUCUAGCCAUGCCGCGUGAUCGAUGAAGGCCUUAGGGUUGUAAAGAUCUUUCAGGUGGGAAGAUAAUGACUGUACCACCAGAAGAAGCCCCGGCUAACUCCGUG
rnacentral:rRNA from 1 species